GAUGAACGCUGGCGGCGUGCCUAAUACAUGCAAGUCGAGCGAACGGACGAGAAGCUUGCUUCUCUGAUGUUAGCGGCGGACGGGUGAGUAACACGUGGAUAACCUACCUAUAAGACUGGGAUAACUUCGGGAAACCGGAGCUAAGACCGGAUAAUAUUUUGAACCGCAUGGUUCAAAAGUGAAAGACGGUCUUGCUGUCACUUAUAGAUGGAUCCGCGCUGCAUUAGCUAGUUGGUAAGGUAACGGCUUACCAAGGCAACGAUGCAUAGCCGACCUGAGAGGGUGAUCGGCCACACUGGAACUGAGACACGGUCCCGACUCCUACGGGAGGCCGCAGUAGGGAAUCUUCCGCGAUGGACGAAAGCCUGACGUAGCAACGCCGCGUGAGUGAUGAAGGUCUUCGGAUCGUAAAACUCUGUUAUUAGGGAAGAACAUAUGUGUAAGUAACUGUGCACAUCUUGACGGUACCUAAUCAGAAAGCCACGGCUAACUACGUG
rnacentral:rRNA from 1 species